GGCGGCACACCGGGCAUUAGCCCGUUUUGCCCGAUGGCCUUGCUUCCAGGCAGUCCCCAGGAUCGCGACCACCAGCGUGGUAUCGGCGGGGACCCGGUAAGUCCACUGGACGGAGAGACAUUCUAUGCUGCCCUGCGGCGUUUAGGAACACCCCCUCCCAGGACGGCAUAGAACGCUGACCGUCCUUAAGGGGAUAAUAUUACUUAGGUUAAAAUUCUUAAACUAAAAUAUAUCUACCCGGAAAGUACCUAAACAUUUUAUUUUAUAGCCACAAAAUCAUUCUGUUGCUGUACAAAUGCAUUUAGCUGCAAAAACAAUACACGUUUAU